AUUGAACGCUGGCGGCAGGCUUAACACAUGCAAGUCGAGCGGGGUGAUGGUGCUUGCACUAUCACUUAGCGGCGGACGGGUGCGUAAUGCUUAGGAAUCUGCCCAUUAGUGGGGGACAACAUCUCGAAGGGGAGGCUAAUACCGCAUACGUUCCACGGGAGAUAGCAGGGGGUCACUUGUGACCGCGCGCUAAUACAGAAGCCGAAGUCGGAUUAGCUAGUUGGCGAGGUAAAGGCCUACGAAGGCGACGAUCUGUAGCGGGUCUGAGAGGAUGAUCCGCCACACUGGGGCUGAGACACGGCCCAGACUCCUACGGGAGGCAGCAGAGGGGAAUAUUGGACAAUGGGGGGAGCCCUGAUCCAGCCAUGCCGCGUGUGUGAAGAGGGCCUUAUGGUUGUAAAGCACUUUAAGCGGGGAGGGGGCUCUUUUGGUUAAUACCCAAGAUGAGUGAACGUUACUCGCAGAAUAAGCACCGGCUAACUCUGUGCCAGCCGCCGCUGUAA
rnacentral:rRNA from 1 species